rnacentral:rRNA from 1 species
GACGAACGCUGGCGGCGUGCUUAACACAUGCAAGUCGAACGGCAAGGCCCUGCUUUUGUGGGGUGCUCGAGUGGCGAACGGGUGAGUAACACGUGAGUAACCUGCCCUUGACUUUGGGAUAACUUCAGGAAACUGGGGCUAAUACCGGAUAGGAGCUCCUGCUGCAUGGUGGGGGUUGGAAAUUUUCGGCGGUUGGGGAUGGACUCGCGGCUUAUCAGCUUGUUGGUGGGGUAGUGGCUUACCAAGGCUUUGACGGGUAGCCGGCCUGAGAGGGUGACCGGCCACAUUGGGACUGAGGUACGGCCCAGACUCCUACGGGAGGCAGCAGUGGGGAAUAUUGCACAAUGGGCGGAAGCCUGAUGCAGAAACGCCGCGUGCGGGAUGACGGCCUUCGGGUUGUAAACAGCUUUCGCCUGUGACGAAGCGUGAGUGACGGUAAUGGGUAAAGAAGCACCGGCUAACUACGUG